GGACCUGGCAGCCUUGGGAAUCAGUGAUGCUGCUGUUACAAAUAAGAUUGCUGGUCAGAAUUGCUGUCAGGAAAAGAGGAAUCCUUCUGCCAGCACACUGCUGGGCGGUG